GAGGUUAUAGCUCAAGUGGUAGAGCGCAUGCUUACCAUGCAUGAGGUCCUGGGUUCAAUCCCCCAUACCUCCA
rnacentral:tRNA from 1 species